rnacentral:rRNA from 1 species
AGUGAACGCUGGCGGCGUGCCUAAUACAUGCAAGUCGAACGCAGUGGCGCCCGGGUGAGUAAUAUAUAGUUAUUCUGCCCUACACCGAGGAACAACAGUUGGAAACGGCUGCUCAUACCUCAUAGUGUAGGAUGAGACUAUAUCGUAUCAGCUAGUUGGUAAGGUAAUGGCUUACCAAGGCUAUGACGCGUAACUGGUCUGAGAGGAUGGUCAGUCACAUUGGAACUGAGACACGGUACAAACUCCAACGGGAGGAAGCAGUAAGGAACAUGGCGCAAGGGGGGAAGCCCUGACGCAGCAACGCCGCGAGGAGGAUGACACUUUUCGGAGCGUAAACUCCUAGUAUCAGGAAAGCGGUACCUGAUGAAUAAGCACCGGCUAACUCCGUGCCAGCAGCAGCGGGAAUUC